AUGCCAUGUUGUGGACAACUGCCACAUAAUUUUUUAAAUCUUUCCCAGUAAUCAAAGGGAGUUUCAGUAUUUCUUUGUUGGAUUCCCAAAAUGUUUAGCCUAUGUUU